CUGGGAUCAGAGCCUGGCUUGCCAAUCAUCGUCUCCGUGCCGUAGUGAAGUUGCACGAUCUCAUUGUGUCUUUGUGGAAGAAACCCAGCUUCUGGAUCAGACAGACUCCAGAACCUCAGGGCUCAGCAUAUGGCAGCUCUUUUUCUCCCUCAGCAGGGCCCAUGGGGUCAGCAGGGAGCUGGCCACACCGUUACUGAAGGACCCGUGUGGGUUCUGUCGUCAUUGUGUGGCUGUCGGGUUGUGCUGGCCUCCUGGAGCUGGCAGAGGAGAAUGGAGAGAGGAGAGAGGAGGGAGGAUGUCACACCCACUCCCACAAACACCAGUUCCCCUCACAUCCCACCACGAGAACUGGGCGUUUGGGCACCUGGGAGUGGGGCUGGGAAGCGUGGUGAGGCUGUCAGUGAGGAGCAGAGGCUUUGGAGAGUGUAGUCUGCGACAGUCCGUCUGUCCCUGGAAGAUGCUGGUAAUGGUGUCUCUGUUGUCAGGUUGUUUGGGGAUGUGAUCACGUAUCGCAUUAAUGCAUAAAACUGCAGAGCACAGCGUCGGAGCCUAGCAAGUGGCUCAUGGAAAGCAAGCUGUUGGUAGUGGCCUGUUACCAUGAGUGACGUGUCUCACAUUUCCCGCUGACCUCUGAGGAAAGGGCCUUCUUUCUCUCCAGUCACUCUCUCCAGCUGUACUCUGCCUGCCCCAGGCACUCCUUGUUCCUGCCCCUCCUGUUUGGUAAAACCUCAAGAUGACAUUGACCUUGUCUGCCCCACCUGGGAGCUGUGGAGGGCACUGGGGCAUCAGGUGUGAGCUUGGUGCCCCUGCAGUCAUUUCUGUGGGUCCCUUGGGCUGCUCAGCCAGCCUGUGAGUCCGUGUGCAGCUCAUGGCAGCCCCUCAGCGUCUGUGCCUCUGCCCCCUCCUCAGUCCACAUCUCCACUUGGAAGCCUCAGAGGCACCAGCGUCAACGUGCCUGGCAAGGAUCCCACGGCGCUGCCCACUCCUCUCGCCUCCCCAGUUUCAACCAGCUGUGUGUCCUGCAGGAGCUACUCAGGGGCUCAGGCUUGGUUCCAGGCAGUGACCACUUCCCCAGCCCCAGAGUCUCAGCCUGUGGCCACCAGUGUGUCAGGCUUCCUGUUGAAAGUAAAGUGGGCCUCCGGCCGUGGCUUGCUCCUCACCCGUCCGCACGCCUGUGGACUCGCCUGUCGGCGCUUCUCCUUCACCUGGCAGGAGGGGGCUUGCCCCAACCACAGCCACGUCCUGAACCAGAGUCUCGAUCACACCUUUUCUGGGAAAGUCUUCCUUUGCUUACAUUCUUCACUUACAUACCCCCACCCCCCACCCCUUUGGGUAACUUCAUCCUUUUUCUACUCAAAAUAAAAGUAUGUUCCAGGU